GUCCUGUCACUUUUAACCAAGAUGUCACAUAUAUUGUGGGAAACACGCUGCUCUGCAUUUUCUUUUCUAGGAUUUUACUAGGAAAAGCAAAUGUAAAAUAAAGUUUUUUUGUUUAUUUGUUUGCUUGUUGUUUUUUUUUUAACGCUACAUUUUUAUUUUGCAGAUUCUCAGGAUGAUGGAGUGAGUGAUGGAAUAGGUUGCCAACUGUAGUUACUCCACUCAGCACAGAAUGGCUGCGGGGAAAUAUAAUCAGACAUGCCCAAAGAAGUCUGCUUAGGGUGAAACAAAUACCUUUGAGGUUUAAAUCAGAAAGGAAGGAGAGACUGUUUCUACAGGUGUCAUACAAAAAUCAAUACUGAGCCAAGGAUUAUUGGAUCCCAUAGAACCACGGAGACUUGGUAGUGAAAUUCUUCCAAAGCAUUCCAUCCGUGCAGGCAGAUGGUGUUCCUAGGUUUGGAAAUAUAAAUCCCAUGGGAAGUCAGCUGAAGACCAUUUUAUGCAUCACUCAUCCUGUUAGAGCCCUGUGCUGUUCUGUCUCUCUAUAAGACUGGCUGAAACCACCACGGUUGUUUACAAUUUAUGCUCUAACUUUGGAUCACCUAGUUAAUACUCUAACUCCGAUUAUUACCAAAGACAAUGUUCUAUAAAAGAUAUUGUCUAUUAGAAGGAUGCUUCUGCAUUAUUAAUAAAAUCACAGGGAAAAUGCAACAUUUUGGAUGUCACAUCUGAUAAGUUGGCAGUUAAAGAACAGAAACAGCAAUAAGACUGCGUGGCUACAUUUUCCCAGUGCCACCAACUGGGAUUUAAGCUGACUAACAUUUUGAAAGCCCAGCCCAUUUCAUUCACAGCAGGAUGGCAGUGGGUGACUGAUCGUACCCGCCAGCUGGCUAAUGUCAUAAUUAACAAAGUUGCUACUACAUCUGCAAAGUUUAAUCGAAAAAUUUGCCAGUGAUAUGAUGGCCUUGUCACAGAGAUCACAAGGGACACGGAGUUGACUUUUGCUCAAGGUGGAACGACAGAGCUGUGUAGGCAAGAUGAGAAAUUGCGAACUUGUUCGGCCAAAGGAGGCUAAUAAUGAAGGGGCCGGGAAGGAGGCCAGUGCUACCAGGGUUAUCUCACAACCUCAGAUGCUGGAUAAGUCGACGGAGGCAGAAUCGCUUUGGGAUGACAUUCAGAAAGCCUGGAGUGAUUACUUGCAAGAGAAAAGCCUACCUAUUCUUUCCAAGGUGCAGGAAUAUUCCCCUGACCUGCUCAUCCAGUGGUCCAGUAAUGAAUUACUGGAGACCUGCCUUAGACAAAGAAUGCACUCGGAGCCCCAACACACCUAAAGCCAUGCUUUGAAGGAUCUGCCAAGCUCACUUUUAAUCAUGAGAAAGAAAUUACCCACACGGAGUCAGCAGAAAAUGAGAAAGUAGAGCUCGUGCUGUGAAUAAUUCCAGCAAGUGCCAAGGGGCUAGUUGAGGAAUGGCUUCAUGAGAACAUGCUCUAGGGGAACUAUUAAUAGCCCACCAGUCGGGUAGGCAGCAUUCAAUCCUUCUAUGCCUUCUUUCGCCACCUGUUGAGGUCUUUCUUCUGAAACAAAGAAGAAAUAGACAAAUCAGACUUGCCCUCUUGGAAAUGUGGUCCAGAUUUCUCUACUCCCAAGCUCCAAAAAAGGUAUACAUUGGAUGGGCUAGAUCAACUCCUCCUGAGAGCCAUAAAUCCGCCAAGAGUUGUUUUCCAUGUAAGGGUGUGGUACAAUGGGGAACACCUGAUGUUGGAGGAAAGCAGGAGGACUUUAGAGUGGAGUUGCAUUCUAAUCUCUCUGCCGCUUCAACUAUGUGACCUGGGGCAAAUGAUAUAAACUCUAUGAGCCUCUUUCCUUAUCUUUAAAAUGAAGAGAAGUAAUACCUACCUUGUAGGGCUGUUGUGAGGAUUAAAUGAAGUAAUGCAUACAGUGCCUAACAAAGUAUUUAACAUCAUAUUUUUUAAAAGCUCAUGAAAUAUUAGUUUUUCUUCCUUCCCCUCUUUCUAUUUUCUCUCCUGUUCCCUUUUCUCUCCCUCCUCUGC
ensembl:lncRNA RMST rhabdomyosarcoma 2 associated transcript